ensembl:lncRNA LINC02441 long intergenic non-protein coding RNA 2441
AAUUGAAACACUUUUAGCUUAGAAAAGAGCAGAGCAGAGGGUAACUAGCUCAGAAUUUUUAGUUGGUGGCAUGUAUUUAUGAGAUGGAAAAGUCUAUGUCUGAGAGGGGACAGAGGCUUAUCUUCUAGCGUGGAAAGGAGAAGGGGAUGGAAGAAUCACUGAAGAGGAGAAUACAGACCAAUCUCACUCCCGUGACCCCACCCAGAAGUGAUUCAAUGCAAGAGGACAGCUUGGAUCUCCUAUGACUUCAUCUCUGCCCCAACCCAUCAGCAGCAAGCACUCAUUGCCUAGCAACCACCGGCCCUUACCCCACACUGUCUUUGAAAAGCUCCUGCUUAUGAGCCUUGGAUGAGACUGAUUUGAGUGUUAACUCCACCUCCCACGUGGCGUGGCUGGCCUCCUGUCUGUGAAACUCUUUCUUUAUUGCAGUGUUGUGGUCUUUAUUUGCGCAGUGGGCAGGAAGAACCCCUUGGGUAGUUACAAAAGGUCACCUGGAAAUGAAGUGACAACUAAUUAGAAUUGAAGAAGUGUGGGUCUGCUGUCUCAUUAUGG